rnacentral:rRNA from 1 species
UACGAAGGGGCUAGCGUUGCUCGGAAUCACUGGGCGUAAAGCGCACGUAGGCGGAUUGUUAAGUCAGGGGUGAAAUCCUGGAGCUCAACUCCAGAACUGCCUUUGAUACUGGCGAUCUCGAGUCGGGAGAGGUGAGUGGAACUGCGAGUGUAGAGGUGAAAUUCGUAGAUAUUCGCAAGACACCAGUGGCGAAGGCGGCCAUCUGGACCGCAACUGGACGCUGAGGCGCGAAAACGUGGGGACAACAGGG